rnacentral:rRNA from 1 species
UACGAAGGGGACUAGCGUUGUUCGGAUUUACUGGGCGUAAAGCGCGCGUAGGCGGAUCGCUAAGUCAGGGGUGAAAUCCCAGGGCUCAACCCUGGAACUGCCUUUGAUACUGACGAUCUGGAGAUCGGGAGAGGUUGGUGGAAUUCCGAGUGUAGAGGUGAAAUUCGUAGAUAUUCGGAGGAACACCAGAAGCGAAGGCGGCCAACUGGCCCGAUACUGACGCUGAGGCCGCGAAAGCGUGGGGAGCAAACAGG